rnacentral:rRNA from 1 species
GACGAACGCUGGCGGCGUGCUUAACACAUGCAAGUCGAACGGAAAGGCCCUGCUUUUGUGGGGUGCUCGAGUGGCGAACGGGUGAGUAACACGUGAGUAACCUGCCCUUGACUUUGGGAUAACUUCAGGCAACUGGGGCUAAUACAGGAGAGGAGCUCCUGCUGCAUGGGGGGGGUUGGAAAGUUUCGGCGGUUGGGGAUGGACUCGCGGCUUAUCAGCUUGUUGGUGGGGUAGUGGCUUACCAAGGCUUUGACGGGUAGCCGGCCUGAGAGCGUGACCGCGCACCUUGGGACUGCGAUACGGCCCAGUCUCCUACGUGAGGCAGAAGUGGGGAAUAUUGCACAAUGGUCGGAAGCCUGAUGCAGCAACGCCGCGUGCGGGAUGACGGCCUUCGGGUUGUAAACCGCUUUCGCCUGUGACGAAGCGUGAGUGACGGUAAUGGGUAAAGAAGCACCGGCUAACUACGUG